AGCGUAGAAAUAGUCUGGUCAGUGACUUCCGUCGGCGCGGAGUUUGACAUAAAAUGCAGAUGCGACGCAAUUCCUGAAUUUAACAUACGUAAGGGAUAUUGUGCACAGCCAUGUCGGAAUCCAUAUUUAUCUGUAAAAAGCGUUAAAACAUUGUAGUGUAUGUGCCAAGGCUGUUGCGGCGCUGUAAAAGCUGCCACAGGAAGUCACCAAAAACAAUAAGAAGUCUUAGCGUUACCGUUGUACAGUAACAUUUUCACAACAAUUGUGGGGAAUGCGAGACGAGCAACAAAUGCUAAAUUUAUCUGGACUGACGAUAAACUGCAAUUUGUUCUGGAACGGAAGCUCAAAUCACCGACAAGGGUGGACCCCGCCUCUCGGCCAAAGAUAGCUGGGAUCGGUUCCGGCCAGCCCGCGACCCUAGUGAGGAUAAGCGGUAUCGAAAAUGAAUGGAUGUACAAUGCACAUCUCACCAUCUUCUUCGCCUGCCUCUCCCCGCUCUUCAUCAACCGGGGUGUUCCCGUUACUAACGCCGACACUGGCCCGUCGAGUGUCCCCGGAGAUGUUCCUCCGGAUGUCGCGGUUUUUACUGCGCCUGGCCAGCU